rnacentral:lncRNA from 1 species
UGCCGAUAUCACACCAUUGCACUCCAGCCUGGCAACAAGAGCAAAACUUCAUCUCAAAAACAAAACAAAAACAAAAAAACAAGUAGAAGGUGACAAAGCUGGCAGGGGAGAAGGGAGUCCUCUCCUUGGCCAGCUGUCUCAUGCAAGGGAGUCCCCGUCCGGGGACAGGUGCUCUGGGGAACCUGGAGGAGGUUUCUUUUUGUGAAGUCUCUGUCACUGUGUGUGGGUGCGUGUGUGUAUGUGUUUUGUGCAUGUGUUGUGUGUGUAUGUGUUGUGUGUGUUGUGUGUAUGUGUGUCUUGUGUGUGUUAGUGUGUUGUGUGUGUCUAGGCCAGGGAAACAGUGAGUCGUUUCUGCCCAGGAGCAGCUGCAUGUGAGGCCCCUUCUUGGUCUUAUACGUGGCUUCUGAGGACUUUCCAGAAAUUGUGAGGUGGGAGCCGCCACUGUAAUCAGGCACAUAAAUAACACAUCCCAGAGUUGGGAACCAGCGCAGAAGGCCCAGGACAGACGCCAAGCUGAAGCCACAGCCCUGACACCUGCCGCCCUAGCCCUGGGCUCCGUCUCUGCCUCUGGAGCUUCCUGUCCCCGGGACUCAGCUCCCCUCCCCUCUGUGGCUGGGCUCUGCCUCCUGGGCUGCUCCUCUCCCCAGCCCUCUCUCUGGGCCCAGCCUAGACACCUGCCCCCUCCCUGGGCUCCUUCCCCCGACUGGGUCUGUCCUGGGUCUCAGCCAUGGCCUCCCCUGGGCUCCCUCUCUAGGGGGGUGGAAUCAGGAAGGGGUGGACACAGGGCGGCUCCCGAGGGCCCCUGACUGCACGUUUGUGGUUCCUUUCCAACAGGGAGACUGGCUGCUGACUGUCCUCUUACUGCUGGGCCUGUCCCUUCCAAUCAGCGCCCGGGGCUCUGAGCACAUUGCUUUGCUGGUGUCUGUGAGCAGCUGGAGAUGGUGGUGAACGGUCUGUUUGCAUUUCUUGGAAGAAGAUCUUUUAUUCUGCUGCUCAACCCAGGUCUCUGCCUUCCUUAGAGACUGAGGCCCAUCCUUCAGUUUCCCUGAUUCUGGAAGAGCAGGGGGGUUGAAUGGAGCAGGAGGUCAUGAUGGAGACUUGGGCCCCAGCAUCCCGCAGCAUUUGCAGCGCCUCCUUAUAUAGGGGGUCGUAAUCAU